ensembl:lncRNA
AAAAAAACCCAGCUAGAAUAUUGUUUUGUAAAGAAAUCUUGAAUAGUACAGUUGAUUGCAAACGCUUGCACCCCUGAUGUUUUAAAAUUAGAAAACAAAAUCUACUGUUAAUGUGCUUUUCAUCCCAACCCCUACAUCAUUCAUUUCAGCCUUUCUUCACACAUCUCAAUUCCUCCUUCACUCAUCCCAGCCCCUCCCUUUUUCAUCUCAAAUGCUCCCUCGUACAUCCCAAACCCUACAUCAGUCAUGCCAACCAAUCCCCUUUUCAUCCCAACACCUUCCCAACCUCAAGAGCCAAGCCUUCAUACCCCACCAUACCAAACCUCAUCUGGAUCUAACGUCAGUCUUUCCACCUCUUUUCCACCAGUCCCACCUGCCAAAGCGACCGCUCACUCAUCCCUCCUCCUAUAGAUUCGAUCUAAUCAAUGUUUGCCAAAAAAAUCUCCAAAGUGGGGAUAUUCCCUGCACUAUUAACAUCAGCCAUCUAAUCCUCUCGUUCAAAUCUUCCAACUCACACUCUCCUAAAACACUCACUGGUUCUGCACUGGCCUUUUCUGCCUACCACAGCGUAAUCUUGCUCUGACUUCUCACCUAAUCGAUAGGAACUCCAUGACUACCUUGACAUAAUAUCAGUUCUAUCUGUUCACUUUGAUGGAACCAGCUUUGGUGAAUACAGUUGUCUCUUCUCAGCCCACGCCUCAGCAUAAAGUUGCUGUCUGGAUUUAGAACUGUACUGCUGCAUCUUAACUGUGGCAUAAGUGGCUCUCCGUCCCAUCUUGUAUCCUCAUGCUUAGUGGCUACUGUUCAUCCACCAAUUUGAUAUGAAUUUUUAUUUUAUUAUUUUAAGAUUUAAAAUGCAGGACAUCAGGACUCUGGGAUUAUACAAAUGGCAGUGGAUUGCAUUUUCUGAGGCUGGGAAUGUGGUAUUAUUGCUCUACUAAAAAAGUAAGACGUUAAGUAUAGUAACUUUAUCUUCACUUCCUGGUUGGAGACUAUGUGAAUUAUUGUUUUUUUGUUUAGCCCCCCCCCCCCCCCCCCAAAUGAUGUAUUAUUUUGUUACAUUCUUAUUAUUAUUUUAUUAUUUUCUUUGUUACUGUACAGAACCAUGCAGGAACCCCUAGUGAAUGUGAUGCAUUACAUGCUUUUCACCACAGACCUGUAACAUGUAUUUACAGGAAACACAAUGUAUGAGAACACUAAUGAGCCUACCUUUUUUGAAAACCAGGAAGUUUUUUUCGCUUUGUGUUUUCUCCGGGGCAAUGAAAUUAUAAAUGUUCCUAUAUUAAACUUAGUUUGUGGUUUUAAUCAGAUUCUACGCCAUGCCAUAUUAUUACACUUUUCCGCCAGACAGAAGAAUACGGUUGCAGCAUUUUGACAGUUUUCACUGCAAUGUGAGUAGAACCAUACCCAAGCACUUAUGCUACAAUCAGUUAGCCUUCUUACCCAGGUUCCAUGCAUAGAAGUGCAGAACAGGGGUUUAACACAAUGCCAUUGUCAGUAUAUGUAUCUGUUCAGAGCUCCAAGUAUUCCUAACAGUAUCUGCAUUCGGACUUAAACUAGAUGUGGGUGUGGCCUAAAUUACAAGGUUUUUUUUGUUUGUUUGUUUUUUUGUUUUGUUUUAUUUUAAACCCCUGCCUGCAUAGCCAUUAUUUUUGUUUGUUUUGUACCUGUUGUAUUUUCUAACGAGUUUAUUUGGUUCAAUUUCGCAGAAUAUAAACAAACUUGUAGCCCAUUUAAACUCUGAUGAACCUGACCAGGCAGUUACUAAGGAUGACUGAAUGAAUGCAAUAAAUGCAUUGCUGUAAAUACGUCAUUCACAUUCAUGUUAAUGACUGUGAUCUUUCGUUGUCCCGAGAGCUUCAUAUCUGACAGUUCAGUCGCAAGAAAAUAAAAACCUCCUGCUAGUGUGACUUUUUUUGUUUUGUUUUUUUUGGUUUCUUACACAAUAUGCCAGGUCCAAUGCACACCAUUAGCCUCGACCAGAUGCCAUGGGAACCUUUCUAGCAAGAUUAAG